CACGUAGGGCGCAAGCGUUGUCCGGAAUUAUUGGGCGUAAAGAGCUCGUAGGCGGUCUGUUGCGUCUGCUGUGAAAACCCAGGGCUUAACCCUGGGCCUGCAGUGGGUACGGGCAAACUAGAGUGCGGUAGGGGAGAUCGGAAUUCCUGGUGUAGCGGUGAAAUGCGCAGAUAUCAGGAGGAACACCGGUGGCGAAGGCGGCGUCCUGGACCAACACUGACACUGAGGAGCGAAAGCCAGGGGAGCAAACGGG
rnacentral:rRNA from 1 species